AUUUAAACAUGACUUUUAUUUUUAUCUGUGUUGUGGCGUCAUAAUGCUGCACCAAGCUAUGUGUCUGCUAGGAUUCAGCUGAGGAGAGUUAAUUACUCUCAUCGUCUUAAACAUGACAAAGUGUGCAAACAAGUAGGAAAGGUGAAACAGCAGAGAUCUGCGUGACAUAGGAUUAUAGACAUGGAGUUUAAGAGUGAAGACAUAAGAAUUCCAGAACCAUGCAAACUGAAAAAUGAAGACACUAAGGAUCAAAUAGGUUGGUUUCCAUUUCUUAUUACAAUGUGUUUCUUCUAAAGGAAUGAACAGUAGCUUUGGAAAAUGUUUACAGUCAUAUAAACUGUUGUUUAAUAAGGAGUUACUGAUUGAAAGUCAGGACUGGAAUCUCAGCCUCAGACGUCACGCAUACACUCUGUUCACUGAACGUCUGAUGCAGGUGUGUCUAAAUUCGGUCCUUGAGGGCCACUGUCCUGCAGAGUUUAACACCAAAUUGCCUCAACACACCUGUCUGGAAGCCUGCAUCUCAAUGUGCAUACUAUCCAUCCUAAAUAGUAUGUGACAUUAGUAAUAUUCAAUACUAUUUAGGGUGGAUAGUAUGCACAUUGGGAUGCAGGGGAAAUUUCUAGUACACCUAGUCAGACCUUGAUUAGCUGGUUCAGGUGUGUUUAAUUGGGGUUGGAGCUAAACUCUGCAGGACAGUGGCCCUCCAGGUUAUGGUAUGGGUAUGGUUUGUAUAUCUGCAGUCAUAGUUUUGCUUUCCAUUUUUGAAUGCCAAAUAUAGAUGUAUCUGCUUAAAAAGACAUAUCUCAUUUACAUGUAGGUGCAGAACAUGCAUGCUAGUUUACAGUCACCUGUAGUUCUUUCGGUGUGUUCAAGCUCAGCUUUUUUGCCCUGACGCAGGCAACAGCAUUAGCACUAGUUCUUUGGUGUCGGUUUGGUGUGUCCCUACCCUUAUGCUUUAGCCACAUUGGAACAGCGGUCUGGAGGAUGGAUGAUUCAGCUGCAGGGGCCAUCUUCUGGUGAGAUGCGGGAAUUCAUUCAGCACGACCCUCUCAUGUUUUUGUCAAAGAAUACAGCUGUGUCCCAAUUCAAGAGCUGCAUCCUUCGAAGGCCGCAUUUGAAGGCCGAUUGUGUCACGAAGGCUGUCCUAAUUCGAAGGGUCCUUUGAAAGCAGCCUACUGUCCUUCUUUCCCCGGGCCGUGAAGGGUAGAAUGAGUGGAUCCUUUGCAGCCUUGUCUAUCCCGCACCAGUGACGACAGGAAUUUUUUUCCGAAGAAAAAUGGCGGGUGACAGAGGGAGCAAGGAGCAGAGAGCUGAGUUUAUUAAAAUGAAGGCCGAAAAUGAGUAUUUAUUUACUGGGGCCAAAAACUCGGCCAGUGUGGCUUGGAGGGCAAUUCUGGAGAAAAUGGGCCUCCUGCAGGUCACUCCCUGGCAGGAUUGCAAGCGUCCUGGGACAGGUGAGGGAGCGAGUGAGAAACCCACUGCUGCAACUUUGUCCUCAUGGAUGAGGUGUUGGGACAGAUGCAUUCCAACAACGCCGUAUCCUAGUUGCCUCCAUCCCUGAGGACACACCAGGGCCAAGUUCAGCAGUGGAUGACCAAGAUGAGGAGGAGCCAGCACCAGCCAAGAGAAAAAGAGACCAAAAGGAUGAGCUGGAUGAAGUUUCACAGAGAGACAGAGGAGAGGAGAUCAAGAGCAGGGAGAGAAUGGACAGAUUGUUUUCUCUUCUUAAGAGAAUGGUAGAGAAAUAAAAUUUUGGUUAUGUAAAUUAAAAUUUGUAAAUGAAAGCAAGAAAUUGUUUUAUAUAUUAUUUGUUUUGCAAGUUAUAAUUUGUAAAUGAAAAAAAUAUUCUGUAAAUUUUUGUCAUGUCAAUUAAUUUGUAAAUGAAACCAAAUAAAUUGUUCUAUACAUUUUAA